CGCCAGCCCCGCUGCAAGGUCGCGCAUCUCCGAACAGGUACAGUUCGGAUUCCCCCUGCGCCCGUUCCCGUCCCUCCUAGUCCCCCAGCCGAGGCUCCAGCCGUGACUACAGGCGCUGCGUAAAGAGAAAAACUCCCCCAGAGCACUAAAUAAAUACAGACCAGGCCGCCCGCUCAUUGGUGCGGACUAAAAUCGUCACCCACCAAUCAGGGCAGAGCUCACAUUUCCCCCCCUUUUUUUUUUUUUUUCAGAAGGGGGAGGGAAGGGGAAAAAAUAUUUCCAUUUCUAAUUAUUCAACAAAACCCAGACUGGAACACGUUAAAAUCUUGUUGUUGCAAAAAAGCUGGCCGGGACCCCUACCUCCGCCCCCCCCAGUCCAGCCCGAGUGAGCGGAGGGGUGCAAGAUACAGAGCAAGGGAGGGUGAAAGAGAGAGAGAGAGAGACCUCUCCCAACGGGAUCCAAGCCAGAACUGUGACUUGGACGCGAAGGAAGGGGAGAUAGUAAGAAAAUGCCAUAAUGCACGGACGCAUCUUUACACAUCUUACUGGGGAACUGCAUGAUCGUGGGGGCAUGAAGGGGCAUGCGACAGGGUCCGAAUAAAGCAACCUAUAGCCUCUUAUUUUGAGAGUCACCAUCACCGGAGAGAAAUCUUUCAAACCCACUGGCGGGAAGGUGCAGGAGCUUGGGAAUGGAGACCCAGAGAGGGACUGGCCUUUGCGAAGAAAGCUGGUGAGCAACCGGCUUUCGGUUCCUGGAGCGCUGGGCCCUGGCUCAUCCUCGAAUCUAACACUUGGCUCCCCCCUCCUUUAAUUUUUUUUUCCCUUUCCUUCCCACUCACCCCUCCUUUUCCCCAAAGCUCUCGCCGAAGUCACGACUCUCCCCUUUGAACAUCCUUAACCCGCUCCUUUCCGCAUCCCUCUCCCGCAGCCGGGGCGGGGCUCCCCGCAGCUGGCGCCAACCCCGCCCCCUGGCGCUCGCAGCCGGGCUCGCCGCGGACCGAGGGAUUUUCAGCACCUGCCUCGGUGGACAGCUGCCGCGCCCUGAGCCGCGGGGCCGGGCUCCCCAGCCUCGGCUCCCACCCCAGGGAAGCCUGUCCAGGGAGCAGAGGUUGUCCCUCUCUUUACCUCCCGGCCCCAUCCAUGCAAUUUUAAUCUAUAUCACAUCGCCUCCAUUAAUCUCGAAGCGAGAUGGUCCAUUAAGUGGGAUCUGGGCACCCUUCAAGGCAGAGAAAACCGGGAGGGGCGGGGGGAGAGGCGGCCUGGGUGCUCAGGGACUUGCUGGAGCUUCCUGGAGCCCAGAGCUCAUGCAGGUGCUCAGAAGAAGCGUUAAAGGUCAGGGGCGCAGGAGGCUCGGGCGGCCGCAGGUGUCCCAGGUGUGGGCUGAGGCUAAGGGCUGAGGCCGCAGGUGUCCCCGCUGUGGGCCUGAGGCCUAAGGCACCGAACACGAAGGUCAGGUGGGAGCAGGGUGCACGGUGCAGCCAGGCAGGAGGACAGGGCUAUGGAAGGCCGGAGUCCCUGGGGUGGGGGGGGACGCACACAUAGCGGCAAACGAGGGGCCCUGCUCCCCGGAGCAAGGAGCACUGGCCCGGGCGCUGGAGAUGGAAGCCCCAGGGGCCGGCAUCCUUGGAGCCCUGGAGACCCAACCAACCGGGUGAGGAAUGCCCACAGCCACCGCCCUGUGGGCCCUCAGUGGCCGUCGUGUGGCUCAGCCCACCUCAGUCGGGUAGGAGGAGCGUGUCGGUGAUGCUUCGGUAUUUCAGUCAACAACGAAGAAGAGUCCGCUUCUUCCGGAGCUUGCGGUGGUAAGAGACGCCCAGCAGGCCCCAUUCUUCGCUGGCUCCCCCUAACCGUGCUCACGGCAGCCAGCCAGGCUCUUCACUCUCCAUCACGCCAUCUGAGAGCACUGGCCACUUCCUCCUGGGACCCUGACCAGUACAAUGAUCCAAUACAUGACAUCAAGUUGGGAUUGUAACGUGAGGCCAUUACACGCUCAAAGCCAUCCCCGAGGCUUGACUGGGUGACGUGUACGACAUGAGUUCUGUGAUGGUGAGGAUGCCCUUCACGCAAAUAAGUUGGACCCAUUGCAAUGGGCCCAGCAGUAGGACUCAGGUCAUUCAUUCAUGUGAAGGAAUACUUGUUGAGUACCCGCUGUGUGCCACUCACUACUACAACUGAGGAGUCAGUGGGCAAAUGUCCGGCUCUGCCGGUGUUUUCAGUGUAAUGGGGGAGAAAGACGUUAAUCACAUAGCUAUAAAUAUAAGUACGUAGGCAGAAACUGUGACAGAUCCUUGGCAAGGCGACUCCCAAGUUUCUUCAAGGAGGCUAAUAUGGAGCAACUUCCUUUGUGGAGGUGACACUAAGCUCAGCCAAGCAAAGGUCAAGGUGAAGGGAGGAGCG
rnacentral:lncRNA from 12 species